rnacentral:ribozyme from 12 species
AAAGAAGAAUUGAUAAGGCACAUUCGCUGAUGGACUUUUUUCCUUUUCUUUUUCUUUUUCCUUUUCUUUUUCCUUUUCGCUUUCUUCUUUCGCGUCUGUGUCUUU